CUAAUCUCUGUAAUUUAUCAGCCAGCCUCAUUCUCUCCUCGGUGUAUCUCUCACACUCCAUCAAUACAUACAAUUUCUGUUUUUCCACAUUCACACUGAUCCGUUCCACUUUUCUCUAUUAGAAAUAAAGUUAUAUUCAGGUGCACCGUUCUCAAAUCCGCCAGUGUGAGUGUGGCCAGUCUGGCCAGGCCAGGCCAACUUGGCCACUUGGGAGAGGUGUGCUGCUACGGUACGGGCAGCCACGGUACAGAUGCUAAUGAGCCGACACGCGCACACGAACGGCUACGCAACCUGAGCUGGACGACGUAUAGUCCAUGCGACGACCAUGGACAUAAUAAAGGCGACGAGCCUUCUUUCCCAUUAAACGGUAAACAUGGCGUCAAGCAGUUUAACUGUUGGUUCACGUUGGUCCCAUAGAGAAGUCGAGUGUCUGUCCAAGUGCGAACGGUGUUCUCUGUGUUGUUGUCCAUUGUUGUUAAAACUCUGACUGGCGGUCGGCAGACUGAUGGUCCAUGCAGAAGACGCUUGGCGAUGACGUGUUACGACGUGAUGACGUAUGUACAAGAGCCUACCGUGGCCAGGCUCAGUUACGAUGGCCAGAUGGCCUAGUGUGAUUGCAGGCCAGAGAACAAUGGGGCCAGUUGAGCACGGUUAGGUGUGAAAACGGCCAACGGCCACGACCAGAUGGCCUAGUGUGAGUGCACUCUUGGGUGCACUCACGCUAGGCCAUCUGGCCGUGGUCGUGAGAAUAGUCCUGCAUGUCCUAUUCUCAUUCUUGUGAUCACUGUUUCCUCCCUUCUAUUUUUCCUUUUAACACCAUGCGCACACACAUUAUCUUGUAUAGUAUAAUCAUUUCUGUGGUUUCUCUAUCCCGUCUUUCCUGCCACUUUUUAAUCACUUAUUUUUUUAGAAUUGCUUUAACUUCGGUUUUUCCAUAAGGCAUAUCUAUUAUAUUGUUCAUUUUCGUUGCUAUUUUGGCAAUUUUGUCUGCUUCAGUAUUAUGUCUUUUCGGAAACAAUGGCAGAAGGACUGAGAAAAGCAAAAAAGCGAAAUUUCACGGAGGUUGAAGUGGAGACACUUGUGGGUGAGAUGGAGGCCCGGAAAGUAGUUGUGUUCGGGGAUCGACAACAACAAAAAGCAGAUUGAGUGGCAACAACAUGUUGCUGCAGCAGUGAACUCUGUCAGUAGCACGGAGCGCACAGUCCCAGAAUUAAAAAAUAAGUGGACUGACAUAAAGGUACCUAUUUUAAUGUUGCCUACCAAUAAAUCGUUAUGGUCCCUAAAGACCCUCUCUCUCCGAAUCCUGCCAUUUGCAUGGUCCGCCAGAAGUGCUAGGCCUAUAUGGUGCAGCAUUACCACGACGUUCACCUCUGUAUUUAUACCACCACACCAUCUGUGUCGCCAAUUCUUCUUUUCCUCCAAACCAUGCGUACGCAUGGGUCAGAGUUUGCCUCGGGCUGCGCACAUUCUCCCGUCAAGGUGUUUUUUUAUAGAUCACAACCAUGGACAUAAGAUCACAACCUUGGCGUGGAAAGUCACGAACGCCAAUUUCAGCCCCGUUUUGUGCGUACACAACGGUUAUAAAUGAGACCCCUGUUGUUUUUGACAUCUUUUGUAUUUAUCUGUAUAUAGGCUAUCAUAGUGUUAGAUGAGUUCUAUAUGAUUCCUAGUGUUAUAAGAGUUCUAUAUGAUUCAGUGUUAUAAGAGUUAUAUAUGCCGGAGGUGGCUGCUUCUACCAUUUUCAAUGCCAAACGGCAUUAUAAUAUAGGCUAUUCACAAGGGAAGGGUACUAUACAGUUGUAUUAAAGUAAGCCAUCAUAAUUGACGCCUCUUUAAGAAGCCUAGAAUAUUUAACAGAAAUUGUAUAAGAUUGUAUCAUGACUCUUGCCUUACAGUGAAUUGAAUUGUGAUUCACUUUUUAUUCAUGUUCUCCGGUAAACGAAUUAACUUUAAUUGUUCCAAUUGGUCUACAGGUUUACUAUUUUUUGCUCUUCGGUAUUGCAGUCAACACUGAUCAGUUCAUAAAAUUGUAGGUGCAAGAUAUGAUAUAAAAGAUACAUAAUUUAAGACUAUGGAGUAAAUCUCCAAUCAGUGCAAAGCUAUGUCUCAUAUCAUUAUUCAUUCUCAAACUAAACUGUAUUUCAUUGUAAUUUCACAAGACAUACACAUAAGGUGAGCGAAGAAUUACACAAAACCCUCCAACUCCAACCCUCAAUCUUCAAGUACAGAAUGCAACUGCAGCCCCUGGUCCUGUAAUGUUAAUUAAAUGGUUCCGUAAUGGCACAUAUUUGUUUAAAGAGCCAAUAUACCUCUGUUGGCAAGGUUUGACAGGAGGCUGGUGCCUAAAGUCUCCUCUACUAUCGAACUGAGACUAGGUCAAUGUCAUCCAGAAAAGUUAGAGUUAGCAUGCUGUAUUAUGUAAUGUUCUUUGCUGAGAAGAGCUCCCAACUAAAUGCCAAAGUAUCAUAGUUUCCAACCGUAAAUCUUCAUUGCAGUCAGUCAUUGCAAUGAAAAAUGUGUGGAGGCUACUUUAUUAAGAUAUUAAUAAAAAUGUGAGCCAUUAAAAAAUUCUAAAAUGUUGCAGGGGUAUUAAGGUAGUGAUGAUUAUACACAAUAGAUAGCAAUAUCAAUAAUGUUUGCAUUUGAUGCAAUAUAAUUUAUAUCAAAUAUACGAAUGAAUGUGUACAUUUAUUGUUGAACCAAACUUGAAAUUAUAUAUGUAUUAUAAAUUGAGGUAAAUGUAAGCAGAACAAAAUUAUUAGAAUAAAUUAAUCAAGGGGCUCAAUUAUAACAAAA